ensembl:lncRNA
AUUCACUAACAGGACACCUUCAGCAUCUCGGUUAAACGCAGGACGGCACAUACAGGUGUGACAGCACAACCCGCACAGCAGAAGCAGGCAGGUAAAGGGGACCGUCUGCAUCAGCUUCAUUAAACAAGGCACAGCAACGCUCACUGUUGCUUUAACUCUAACGAAAGCCUGCUCAAUUCAAGGUACCCAAGCUGCCCCACGUCCUGCGUUCAGCCUUCUCCCCUCCCGCCGCGCCUGCCAACAGGCCUCCCCGCCAAAGCCCAGGACAAGAGCGGUCCGGGGCAGGACGAGGUUCCGGCUGCGCCAGUCGCGGAGGAACAGGCCGAGAAGAUCCUGGCCUGGCCGCGCCUCACCGCCCGGUACCUGCGGGCCCCUGAAAUCCGCUGCCGCCUCCGCCGCUCCUCUUCCGCUCCGGAGCACUUUUCCGUGCGUCCCGCGCGCCGCCGCCAGCCCAGCACUGCGCAGGCGCCGCGCCGCCGAUUGGCCGCCGGCCGCUCCUCCCCCUGCUCUUUUUCUCCCUCCUCCCGGCCCGCUGUCCGGCUCUUCUCUGCCCCGGGAGGUACCGCCCGCCUUCUCCCGCCCGCCUCCUGUCCCGCCCUGGGGCGAAGCACUGCCCGCGAGGCGGCUCCUGGCGGCCGGGGGCCGGCCUUGUUCCUGCUGGCUGCGCGUUGGUGCCGCUGUUUGCGUGAUGAAAGGAUGCGAUCUAUCCCGUGCAGAGAGGGAAAUGAGGGGGAGGGGAAGAAAGUCUCCAAAACCAACCCGUCGCGGUACUGGUCUCUUAGCCUGUAAGGCUUGUGCAUGAUGUAUGUGAGAACGAUUUCCAGCAGAGAAGCUUAUCACAGAUCUACCUAAAAGUAACAAAAAAAAAUAGAGUAGGGUAAGCAGAGAAGAAGCAAAGGAUUAAAGGAUAAAAACAGGACCGUGGAAGCUUGAACAGAAAGCACCAGUCUAGAUCAGAAGGAAGCUUGAACAGAAAGCAGCGGUCAAGAACAGAGCUGUCAUUUGACUGAUAAAUCAUUCUCUUAAUCAGCUGUGCCAGCCAAAGAAGGCCUGAGUAAGCAGCUUCAAAUGAAUAAGCCUUAACUGAUUUUUUUUUGUUUCCAUUCCUCUGUCACAUACCUAAUUAAAAUUUACAUUUUUAAUUGCGCUAUUUUCUAAUAGAAUGAUAGGAAUCCUUGUCUGGGAGUUUUCUUAGCAUGAAAAUAAGUCCUAGAACUGUGAAAAGCUUUAAGCAGCUUCUAUUCUACAUAGAGUUUAGAUCUCCUUUUAAAUGUGCUAGAUUUCAUUGAGUUUUUAGGUUUCUUCACUGAGUUCACGUAAGGGAACAAGUUAAGAUACGUAAUGCAUGCACCUUUCCAGAUCAGCAAGGUCGCUCUCACUCAUCCUUCACCUCUAUUUGCAGACAAAUAUCAAAGAUGCCUUUGAGGUUUCAGUCUCAUAUCUUCUAAAGAAUGAUGAUAUCAGUUUCACAGCCUGAGAAGAGUACCUAGGAAUCUCCUUUUCCUUCCCUAUUUCCCUACAAAAGUGAGACUGAAGCAGAAAUGAGACUUGAGGCUGAAAUUAAAAAGAAGAAGGAUAAAAUGGAGAUGGAGGUAGAAGUGAAAAUACAGUAUUAUAAGUUGUAACAGGGUUAUAGUAAAAACAAGACAAAACCUCAAACUUUGAUUAAUCUUUGAACUGCUUGAAUGAGUUGGUCCAAAACAUUGCUUUUCAUUUUUUUUGUUGUUUUUGUUUUGAAUACAGAUGUGAGAUAUAUAUAUAUAAAUAAAUCUGCUCAUAUUUACUUUAAUGUACA